CUUUUACUAAGCAAUAAUUAUCUAUACUACUCUAUUUAAGUAUUAAAUACUAAGUAGCACAAUAUACAUAUAGUGUCUCUCAGCUUUUCCCUAGACUCCUUUUCCAUUUGCAACAUUUUAGACAAACUUUAUGAUAGAUUGAUUAUAUAUGGACACUAUCUACUUAAACCUAAAGUGUAUGCUCUGAAAAUAUACUAGAGCUUAUGGGAAUUCUUGUGGAUUUACCUCUAUAUAGCUGGGAUACUUUUAGAUCCCUGCAGACUGUGGGGAUUAUCUCUUCUGAGGAGUGAUCAUAUGGUAUUUGACUGAAUAUACAUUGUACUAUAUUGUACUUGUCACUAUAGUUUUCAGUGAAGAUAUCUUAAUCACUCCACUAUGUUUUGAGGAUAUCCACAUUGCAUCUACCCAGUUUUUACUUCACGUGUUGUUUCACGAGUGUUUCACUAUUAUUACACUUUAUUAUUUUUUGUUUUGCCUCAAGACGGCUCAAUAAAGGUUAUACCUAAUAAUUAUUGUAAUAAUUUAGAGAUAUCAUUUGGUGAAGUGGAUGUCCAAACUUUUCCAUCUUUAGUGGAACAACCACUUCACUUUAG